rnacentral:rRNA from 1 species
GGAACGGCAUGGGAGGGCCGGCCGCAGCGGGUGACAGCCCCGUACGCGAACCCAGACCGGACGGCGCGACGCGGUCCCUGAGUAGGGCCGGGCACGUGAAACCCGGUCCGAACCUGGGUGGACCACCAUCCAAGCCUGAGUACUACCCUGUGACCGAUAGCGCACCAGUACCGUGAGGGAAAGGUGAAAAGCACCCCGGGAGGGGAGUGAAACAGUACCUGAAACCGUGCGCCCACGAGCAGUCGGAGCAACUUUCAGUUGUGACGGCGUGCCUUUUGUAGAAUGAGCCAGCGAGUCGCUGGCGCGGGGCGAGGUUAACCGAAAGGGAGCCGGAGCGAAAGCGAGCCUUAACAGGGCGACUUGAGUCCCGCGCCGCGGACGCGAAGCCGGGUGAGCUAUCCGUGGGCAGGCUGAAGCGGGGGUAAGACCCCGUGGAGGGCCGAACGCACGUCGGUUGAAAACGGCGGCGAUGACCUGCGGAUAGGGGUGAAAGGCCAAUCAAACCCGGAGAUAUCUCGUUCUCCCCGAAAUAGCUUUAGGGCUAGCGUCGCGCGUUCACCGCCGGAGGUAGAGCACCGGAUGGACGAGGGGGCUUCGCCGCCUACCGAAUCCAACCGAACUCCGAAUGCCGGCGGCCCAGAGCGCGGCAGUCAGAGCAUGUGGGCUAAGCUGUGUGCUCGAGAGGGAAACAGCCCGGACCGCCCGCUAAGGUCCCCAAGUUCCAGCCGAGUGGCAAAGGAUGUGCGUCCGCCCAGACAACCAGGAUGUUGGCUUAGAAGCAGCCAUCCAUUCAAAGAGUGCGUAACAGCUCACUGGUCGAGUGGACAUGCGCCGACAAUACACGGGGCUAAGCUGGACACCGAAGCGGCGGGAUUUUGAUUUACAGAAUCGGUAGGGGAGCUUCCCAUGGGCGGCGAAGCCGGAGGGCGACCGACGGUGGAGCGCAUGGGAGUGAGAAUGCUGGCAUGAGUAGCGAGAGACGAGAGAGUAACUCGUCCGCCGUGAACCCGAGGUUUCCUGGGCAAGGCUAAUCCUCCCAGGGUCAGUCGGGGGCUAAGGCGAGGCCGGGAGGCGUAGCCGACGCGCAGCAGGCAGACAUUCCUGCACCGCGCACGCGGCGCUACGACCGACGGGGCGACGGAUGGGGGUGGCUCGGCGGGGUUCUGGACGUCCCCGUGAUGGAGCGCGGCCCGCGGACCAGGGAAAUCCGGUCCGCACACAGGGCGAGGCUCCGGACGAAGCACUUAAGCGAAGCGAGUGAGCCCGAGGUCCCUAGAAAAACCCCUAGGCAGGCGCGUGCGCGCCCGUACCGCAAACCGACACAGGUGGGUGGGUAGAACAUACCGAGGCGAUCGGGUCAACCAUGGUCAAGGAACUCGGCACAAUGGCCCCGUAACUUCGGGAGAAGGGGUGCCCGCGCGUACGUGAACGGACUUGCUCCGGGAGCGGAGGCGGGCCGCAGUGGAGAGGCCCAAGCGACUGUUUACCAAAAACACAGGACUCUGCAGAAGCCGCAAGGCGACGUAUAGGGUCUGACGCCUGCCCGGUGCCGGAAGGUCACGCGGAGGAGUUAGCGCAUCGCGCGAAGCCCCGAAGCCAAGCCCCGGUAAACGGCGGCCGUAACUAUAACGGUCCUAAGGUAGCGAAAUUCCUUGUCGGGUAAGUUCCGACCUGCACGAAAGGCGCAACGACUUGGGCGCUGUCUCGACCAUGGACCCGGUGAAAUUGCACUGGUCGUGAAGAUGCGACUUACCCGCGGAAGGACGGAAAGACCCCGUGAACCUUCACUGCAGCUUGGCAUUGGCCGCUGGUCCCGCGUGUAGAGGAUAGGCAGGAGGCACAGAUCCGGAGGCGCCAGCCCCCGGGGAGCCGCCCUUGGAAUA